GACGAACGCUGGCGGCGUGCUUAACACAUGCAAGUCGAACGGAAAGGCCCUGCUUUUGUGGGGUGCUCGAGUGGCGAACGGGUGAGUAACACGUGAGUAACCUGCCCUUGACUUUGGGAUAACUUCAGGAAACUGGGGCUAAUACCGGAUAGGAGCUCCUGCUGCAUGGUGGGGGUUGGAAAGUUUCGGCGAUUGGGGAUGGACUCGCGGCUUAUCAGCUUGUUGGUGGGGUAGUGGCUUACCAAGGCUUUGACGGGUAGCCGGCCUGAGAGGGUGACCGGCCACAUUGGGACUGAGAUACGGCCCAGACUCCUACGGGAGGCAGCAGUGGGGAAUAUUGCACAAUGGGCGGAAGCCUGAUGAAGCAACGCCGCGUGCGGGAUGACGGCCUUCGGGUUGUAAACCGCUUUCGCCUGUGACGAAGCGUGAGUGACGGUAAUGGGUAAAGAAGCACCGGCUAACUACGUG
rnacentral:rRNA from 1 species